GAUGAAGAACGUAGCGAAAUGCGAUACGUAGUGUGAAUUGCAGAAUUCAGUGAAUCAUCGAAUCUUUGAACGCACAUUGCACGUCUCGGUAUUCCGGGAGGUAUGCCUGUUCGAGCGUCAUUUGUACCCUCAAGCUCUGCUUGGUGUUGGGUGUUUGUUCCGCCUCUGUGUGUGAACUCGCCUCAAAACAAUUGGCAGCCGGCGUACUUGUUUCGGAGCGCAGCACAUUUUGCGAUCCAGAUCAACGUACAGCGGCAUCCAAGAAGCCUUAUUUAACGCUCUUGACCUCGGAUCAGGUAGGGAUACCCGCUGAACUUAAGCAUAUCAAUAAGCGGAGGA
rnacentral:misc_RNA from 1 species